rnacentral:rRNA from 1 species
GACGAACGCUGGCGGCGUGCUUAACACAUGCAAGUCGAACGGGAGUAUCGAAGAAGCUUGCUUUUAAGAUACUUUAGUGGCGGACGGGUGAGUAACGCGUGAGGAGCUGUCCUAUGCAGGGGGACAACAGUUGGAAACGACUGCUAAUACCCCAUAAGCCGAGAGGUAAAAGGAUUUAUCCGGCAAAGGAGGUACUCGCGUCCUAUCAGCUAGUAGGUGGGGUAACGGCUCACCCAGGCGAAGACGGGUAGCCGGCCUGAGAGGGCGAACGGGCACACUGGAGGUGGGAUACGGUCCAGACUCCUACGGGAGGCAGCAGUGGGGAAUAUUGGGCAAUGGGGGAAACCCUGACCCAGCGACGCCGCGUGGGUGAAGAAAUCCUUCGGGAUGUAAAGCCCUGUUGUAUGGGAAGAGCAGAAGACGGUACCAUACGAGGAAGCCCCGGCAAACUACGUGCCAGCCGCCGCGGUAA